ACGAUGUCGACUUGGAGGCUGUGCCCUUGAGGCGUGGCUUCCGGAGCUAACGCGUUAAGUCGACCGCCUGGGGAGUACGGCCGCAAGGUUAAAACUCAAAUGAAUUGACGGGGGCCCGCACAAGCGGUGGAGCAUGUGGUUUAAUUCGAUGCAACGCGAAGAACCUUACCUACUCUUGACAUCCAGCGAACUUUCCAGAGAUGGAUUGGUGCCUUCGGGAACGCUGAGACAGGUGCUGCAUGGCUGUCGUCAGCUCGUGUUGUGAAAUGUUGGGUUAAGUCCCGCAACGAGCGCAACCCUUAUCCUUUGUUGCCAGCGAUUCGGUCGGGAACUCAAAGGAGACUGCCGGUGAUAAACCGGAGGAAGGUGGGGAUGACGUCAAGUCAUCAUGGCCCUUACGAGUAGGGCUACACACGUGCUACAAUGGCGCAUACAAAGAGAAGCGACCUCGCGAGAGCAAGCGGACCUCACAAAGUGCGUCGUAGUCCGGAUCGGAGUCUGCAACUCGACUCCGUGAAGUCGGAAUCGCUAGUAAUCGUGGAUCAGAAUGCCACGGUGAAUACGUUCCCGGGCCUUGUACACACCGCCCGUCACACCAUGGGAGUGGGUUGCAAAAGAAG
rnacentral:rRNA from 1 species